rnacentral:rRNA from 1 species
UUGAAGAGGACUCAUCCCUAGUACGAGAGGAUUAGGAUGGACGGACCCCUGGUAUACCAAUUGCCCCGCUAGGGGCACAGUUGGGUAGCUAUGUCCGGAAAGGAUAAACGCUGAAAGCAUCUAAGCGUGAAACCACCCUCAAGAUGAGACGUCCCUAUAGCCUCCAGCUAGACUAGCUGGUUGAUAGGCCGGAAGUGUAAGUGCAGUAAUGCAUUGAGCUGACCGGUACUAACAGGCAAUUGGCUUGGCCAC